rnacentral:rRNA from 1 species
GACGAACGCUGGCGGCGUGCUUAACACAUGCAAGUCGAACGGAAAGACCCUGCUUUUGUGGGUUUCUCGUUUGGCGAACGGGUGAGUAACACGUGAGUAACCUGCCCUUGACUUUGGGAUAUCUUCACGAAACUGGGGCUAAUAUCGGAGAGGAUCUCCUGCUGCAUGGUGUUGGUUGGAAAGUUUCGGCGGUUGUGUAUGGACUCGCUGCUUAUCAGCUGGUUUGUGGGGUAGUUGCUUACCAAGGCUUUGACGGGUAGCCGGCCUGAGAGGGUGACCGGCCACAUUAGGACUGAGAUACGGAGCAGAAUGCUACGGGAGGCAGCAGUGGGGAAUAUUGCACAAUGGGCGGAAGUCUGAUGCAGAAACGCCGGGUGCGGGAUGACGGCCUUCGGGUUAUAAACAGCUUUCGCAUGUGACGAAGCGUGAGUGACGGUAAUGGGUAAAGAAGCACCGGCUAACUACGUG